CCACGACAAGGAGGAGAUGGGCGGCAAGGAAGGGGUGACGCCAAAGAAGAAAGGGGGUGCCCUUUUCUCAUGCAGAUCUCUCUCUCUUUCUCUCUUCUCUCCAUCUGAUUUGUUUGCUAUACAUCCAUAGGUAGAGAUCUUCUCUAUUCGUAGAUAAUUUUCAUGACUCAAUAAGCAUAGGACUCUUAAUUCAAACAUAUUUUGAAUUAGUCUAAUACUCAUAAAAGGACUCCUACAUGAGAUAGGAUUGGAAUCAUAUAAGGCACCCACAAUGCACCCAUUCCCACACCCACAUGGGAUUCCCACAACCAACACCAUGCCAAGUGCUGGUCGGCCCA
rnacentral:lncRNA from 1 species